CAGCUGCAGUGGAGCCAUCGUUUAGCCAGGGCCCAGGGCAACUUGGAUUGCUGGGGAUCAGCCAGUGCUCCUCACUCCUGGGCAGACAGCAUGGCUAAAAUGGCAGAGGCCAUGUAUUUGGGACCUGGAUCAAUGAAUGGAUGAGGAUUCCUGGGAGGGAAGUUGAACCAUCUGACCUUACCUGAACUGCCCACAUUCGCAGGGCUCAUGGAGAAUGUGACUAAACCUGAUUUGGGAGCUAAAAUCACACCAGUAUGUCACUUGGAACAAGGGCACAUUGAGGGGUGAAGGUGAAGGUUGGAAGCUAGAAAGCUUCGAAAAGAUUGGAAGAAUGAACAACCAGAAACGAGGGACUGAUAUCUAUUUGAGAGUUUGCCAGCAGCUGAACCUGGCUCCUCCUCUGUGAAAAGAGAGAGAACUAUAAGAGUUCUAAAGUUCCUUCCAGACCUAAAUCCUGUGAGAACUAUGAUGUCAGGAAAUUGUAUUCUCCCACCUCUCCAUGCAAGCUACCUCCCCCCCACCUCACACCUACUCCCCUACACAUGCAUCCUCCAAGUGACUUCAACCUGACUUUGGCUGUCCUAGGUCUCCUUCCUACAUCUCUGUUUCAACCUGGCUUUUCUCCCAGACUCAUGUCCUGCCUUUGCAGGAAUGUGAAUGUGUGUCCCACUGACAACCCUUGGGCAAGUAACUUACUCUAACUCCAGGCCUCAGUUCCUUCAUCUGUAAACUCAAGGAGUUGAACAGAAGGAUCACGAAGUCCCCUUCCUGUUUAAAUGCAAGGAUUCCACCAUCUCUACCUAAGAAGAGUGACUUAGACUCAACAUGUCCUGAGCCGAGCUCAGCAUCUUCCUCCUCCCUUAGAACCCACUUGUUCUGCCCAGGAUUUGGAGCCAAUUUGUAAUAAGCAAGAGCAGUUUGACCCAGAUUAAAAGAUACAAUUAGUCUGUCUGAAUGGUAGACCUAAAAAAGCACUCCUUACAACAAGUUAUUGUUUUAUGACAAAGGAAGAUAUCUUGGCAGAACAAUAAGGCCACUGCCACUGAUAAGAGCCUUGUAAUUUACUCAAAACACUGUAAGAGAUUCAGUGGAGAAAUACAAGAAGCCCCCAGAAUUAGGGACAUAGAAACACGUCUUCAUAGGAAUGAAGGUAAUAUAAAUGUAACCAACCCGACUUUGCAGCUGAAGAAACUGAGGCACAGAGUGAGUGACUUAUCCAAAGUUGUCCAGCCAAUGGUGAAUCUAAGGCUCAGAAAGCAUGAGCUCAUCGUCAAGCAGAUUUGAACCAAGGUCUAUUGAUUCUAAAUCAAACACCCUAAUUUUAUGAAUGAGAAAACCAAGGCACAAAGUAGUCAUGUAAUUUGACUAAGGUCACAAGGGGAAUCAGAAACAAACUCUGCAUGGAAGAAGGUCAUUCAAGAUGAUUUCAGAAUAUCUGUCAAGAUCAGAUCCCUAGACUAAUAAAC